rnacentral:rRNA from 1 species
AACGUAGGGGGCCAGCGUUGCUCGGAAUUACUGGGCGUAAAGGGUUCGUAGGCGGUGCGGCAAGUCGGAAGUGAAAUCUCUGGGCUUAACCCAGAGGCUGCUCCCGAAACUGCCGUGCUCGAGUGCGGGAGAGGCGAGUGGAAUUGCAGGUGUAGCGGUGAAAUGCGUAGAUAUCUGCAGGAACACCCGUGGCGAAGGCGGCUCGCUGGACCGCAACUGACGCUGAGGAACGAAAGCUAGGGGAGCAAACAGG